rnacentral:rRNA from 1 species
GACGAACGCUGGCGGCGUGCCUAAUACAUGCAAGUUGAGCGAUGAAGAUUGGUGCUUGCACCAAUUUGAAGAGCAGCGAACGGGUGAGUAACGCGUGGGGAAUCUGCCUUUGAGCGGGGGACAACAUUUGGAAACGAAUGCUAAUACCGCAUAAUAACUUUAAACAUAAGUUUUAAGUUUGAAAGAUGCAAUUGCAUCACUCAAAGAUGAUCCCGCGUUGUAUUAGCUAGUUGGUGAGGUAAAGGCUCACCAAGGCGAUGAUACAUAGCCGACCUGAGAGGGUGAUCGGCCACAUUGGGACUGAGACACGGCCCAAACUCCUACGGGAGGCAGCAGUAGGGAAUCUUCGGCAAUGGACGAAAGUCUGACCGAGCAACGCCGCGUGAGUGAAGAAGGUUUUCGGAUCGUAAAACUCUGUUGGUAGAGAAGAACGUUGGUGAGAGUGGAAAGCUCAUCAAGGGACGGUAACUACCCAGAAAGGGACGGCUAACUACGU